rnacentral:rRNA from 1 species
AGAGUUUGAUCCUGGCUCAGGAUGAACGCUGGCGGUAUGCCUUACACAUGCAAGUCGAACGGAAAUUAACUUCGGUUAAUUUUAGUGGCGGACGGGUGAGUAACACGUGAGAAUUCGCCUUUAGGAGGGGGAUAACGGAUGGAAACAUUCGCUAAAACCCCAUAUGCUCCUGGGUGAAACAGAGGAGAUAAGUAAUACUGACUCUUACCUCUGCCUGAAGAGAAGCUCGCGGCUGAUUAGCUAGUUGGUAGGGUAAAGGCCUACCAAGGCGACGAUCAGUAGCUGGUCUGAGAGGACGAUCAGCCACACUGGAACUGAGACACGGUCCAGACUCCUACGGGAGGCAGCAGUGAGGAAUUUUCUGCAAUGGGCGAAAGCCUGACAGAGCAAUACCGCGUGAGGGAUGAAGACUUACUGAGUUGUAAACCUCGGUACCUUAAGGAAGAAGAUCUGACGGUACUUAAGGUGGAAAGCAUCGGCUAACUCCGUGCCAGCAGCCGCGGUAAGACGGGGGAUGCAAGUGUUAUCCGGAUUUACUGGGCGUAAAGCGUCUGCAGGUGGUUUUCUAAGUCUACUGUUAAAUCUUGAGGCUCAACCUCAAAUCUGCAGUAGAAACUAGAAGACUUGAGUAUAGUAGGGGUAGAGGGAAUUUCCAGUGGAGCGGUGAAAUGCGUAGAUAUUGGAAAGAACACCGAUGGCGAAGGCACUCUACUGGGCUAUUACUGACACUCAGAGACGAAAGCUAGGGGAGCAAAUGGGAUUAGAUACCCCAGUAGUCCUAGCCGUAAACGAUGGAUACUCGAUGUUGGACGUAUCAACCCGUUCAGUAUCUUAGCUAACGCGUUAAGUAUCCCGCCUGGGGAGUACGCUCGCAAGAGUGAAACUCAAAGGAAUUGACGGGGGCCCGCACAAGCGGUGGAGGAUGUGGUUUAAUUCGAUGCAACGCGAAGAACCUUACCAGGGUUUGCUAGAAGUGUUGGUUUUCUGAAAAGAAUUCCUUAUUCCGCUUCUACAGGUGGUGCAUGGCUGUCGUCAGNNNNNNNNNNNNNNNNNNNNNNNNNNNNNNAAAAACGAUUCCCUUAGUAGCGGCGAGCGAACUGGGACCUGGCCUAAACUAACCUCUUGGUUAGGGUUGUGGGACCGAUUAGGGGUUAGCCUAUUUAAAUAAAGAAAGAUUUACCGUGACGAAAUAGUUGAAUCCUAUACCUAAGAAAGUGAUAGUCUUGUAGUCGAAGUUAACUCUUUAUUUAUAGUGCUAAGCUUAUGUAAGCACUCCUUCGGCUUCCCGAGUAGCAUGGAGCACGUGAAAUUCCGUGUGAAUCCGCAAGGACCACCUUGCAAGGCUAAAUAUUCCUGAAUGACCGAUAGUGAACCAGUACCGUGAGGGAAAGGUGAAAAGAACCCCGGGAGGGGAGUGAAAAGAACAUGAAACCAAAAGCCUACAAGCAGCAGAAGGGCUACGAGUUGUCAAGCCUAACUGCGUGCCUGUUGAAGAAUGAGCCGGCGACUUGUAUCUAAUGGCUGGGUUAAGAAUACGAAGCCAUAGUGAAAGCGAGCUUGAUAACGAGCGUAAUGUCAUUAGGUACAGACCCGAACCCGGAUGAUCUAACCAUGACCA